rnacentral:rRNA from 1 species
UACGAAGGGGGCUAGCGUUGCUCGGAAUUACUGGGCGUAAAGCGCACGUAGGCGGUCUUUUAAGUCGGGGGUGAAAUCCUGGAGCUCAACUCCAGAACUGCCUUCGAUACUGGAAGACUUGAGUCCGGGAGAGGUGAGUGGAACUGCGAGUGUAGAGGUGAAAUUCGUAGAUAUUCGCAAGAACACCAGUGGCGAAGGCGGCUCACUGGCCCGGUACUGACGCUGAGGUGCGAAAGCGUGGGGAGCAAACAGGGAUUAAGAAA